AUUUGUGUCAGUUGGCAUGGGCUCAUCCUGGCCUGGCGCUCGCGCAGGGCUCCCCAGGCUCACCGACUUGUGGGCCCCACUCACCCCUCGCCGCUCCCCGGUACCCCUCCGGAGAAAUGAAGUAGCUCUCUCUCCCGAUUCCCUUGCCACCGCAGCUUCAGACAGCUCC